UAUGUGCCUCGCCUGCUCAGACUGUAACGGGCUAGAAAGAGAGCUUUUGGUCAGCAAAUAAAAGACUUCCUGGAUAAGCUUGAUGAACAGACAUCAGACAAUGUGUCUCACCGAAAGAUGACAGCACUGAGAUGCCUCCCCGUUUGUCCGGGACGACACAACUAAGUUUUUCCUGCAGCAUUUGAAAACUGACCCUGAAGAAAGAGUGCUCAGAUUGGCAUCCUUACAAUCCUUGAAGAAGAUGAUCCUGCUGUAUCACCCAACGUACGGGACUGGGCUGUUGUGUUGGAAGGUUCCAUCGUGCUACAUGACCUGCCAGACCUCGGUACCGCCUUUGCAUACCUCUUUGGCCUACUUUAUGCUAUGAACAUUGAUUAUGCAAAGGAGAUGAAGUACACCUUUGAAGCAAUUCAGUCUAUCUUUUUCGAGUUUGGCUCUCAGUGCUCUCAGCGGACAAGGUCUCUGAAAACCAAGCUUUUGCUGUGACUCUUAAUGUGGAAGCCAACCUAUGUUUUUUGCCUGUUCUAGUGCAUUGUGGUUGGUGCUCAUAUAAAACUUCACGGCCAGUGAUUUAAAACAUGCAAGACCUCACGGAAAACAAUUGUAUUUUUUUUUAAAUGUAUUUACAAGUGAGAUACACAAUUUAUUUUAUUUUAUUUUUUUCAAAAUGUAUUUCAAAUUGAGUGAGAUUCACAAAAUGCCAUCAUGCUACAUAACCCGCCAGACCUCGGUACUGCCUUUGCAUACCUCUUUGGCCUACUGUAUGCCAUGAACAUUGAUUAUCCGAAGGAGAUGAAGUACACAUAUGAAGCCAUUCAGACUAUCUUUUUCGAGCUUGGCUCUGUGCUCAAGUCUCCUCUGCCUCUGAAAUAGAUUAGCUGCUGCUGCUCUUGCUGCAAAACAUCAAA